rnacentral:lncRNA from 1 species
UAAAGCUGCAGAUAGCCUGUAAGUAGCAGGGAAAUGCGCCACUUAAGCUUCAUUAACCCUGAUGACAGUAUGGGAGGCUGACCACAAACACACAAAAAGCUAUCGACCACCCUUGCCCAGGAAGAUGUCUGGAAACCAUGUGCCUAGAGAUGGGCAAGAGGGCAGUGUCCCAGCUGGCUGAGUCGGUGACCAGAUUUCAUUGUCUUUGGAAAGGAGUCAAGCUCCAACUCCACAGAAAAAUAACAGGGAGAUCAACUCAGAGGAAAUAACAGUGAAAAUCAGUGAGGACCAGAGUUUAUCUCCUACCCACUCUCUUUAAUUGCUGGACAGAAUCUGCUGCUUUUAAUAUAAGCUUCCCGGGGAAAGAAGGAAAGGGCCAAAGGCCCUGCUUGGCUGUACUCAGGAUCAGCUUGAAAACCAACCUCAUUUUCAGCAACCGGCUUCUCCCUGGUUGCAUGAACAUUUUGUUCGACACGACUCUCCUUCUUUCAUUUUCCUAAAGCAGCAGUUGCCAACCUUGGCUGCACAUUAAAAAUCACCUGGGAGAUCUUUUACAAUACUAAUGCCACUUUUAGAGCUUUAUAUUUAAUGGGUCUGCUGUGUGAACUGGCCCUCGAGAUUAUCUAAAUUUCCCUAGGUGACUCUAAUACGCAGCCAGUUGAGAGCUACUGUCCUGAAGCAUUGUUAACAGGACAUUUUUGUAUAUUUAGGGUUGCAAAGGCAUAAUUAUGGCAGAAGGUGAAAAACAACUUCAAAAUCAAUUUUAAAUAUUUGUGUCCUUAAAAAAUCCCUCUGGGCAUAGUGUCUCAUGCCUAUAAUCCCAGCAGUUUGGGAGGCCAAGAUGGGAGGAUCACGUGAGCCCAGGAGUUCAAGACCAGCCUGGGCAACAUAAUGAGACCCCUGUCACUAAAAAAAUUUAAAAAUGAUAAUAUAAAUAAAUAAAUAAAAAUCCCGUAGUCAGUCCUCUCCUUUGAGAAAGUCUUCCUAAAGAGAGAUUAACAGCAGCUGCAGCUUAAUUUUAUCCCCAUGGGACGCUCUCCUCCCCUCAAGGUCAUUUUCCUCCCCUCUCUGUCCUCCUGCCCCCAACUCUAGCAUUUCUGAUAUAUAAAACUCUGUCAUAAUACAGUAAGUAGUGCCCC